UUUUCUCUCUCUCGCUGAAAUCCAAUCGAGCUCUCUUUUUCUCUCGAUUCUUUCAGCCGAUGCGCCAGCCGCUGCCCUUUCGCAAUCCGGCGAGUCGACGCUUCGCCGCUUCUCCUCGUCAACGUCAAUCCCUCAACGUCCUUCUUAUCCUCUCCGAAACAGAGCCGUCACUCUCUCUCGAAAUCAGUCGAGAACUCUCCUCUGAGGGCUCGCCGCCGCGGCUCCGAAAUCCGGCGAGUGGCUGGCGGCCGUCUUCGUCAACUACACCGCUGUCUCUGCAAAUCCGGCGGUACCCGCUGCUACCUCCGAAUCUAUUUUCCCCUCUUCGUCUGGAGUUCGUCCAAGGCGGGGAGAGCGAGCCCUAACUCACAAAUUGAAGGUCGCCGUCGCCGCUGCAACCGAUGUCCGGCGAACGGCCGUCGUCUCCGAGCGGCGUUGUCCAAGUCACUGCUGAUGUCUCUCAAAAUCAGGGGAGUGAUUUGAGCCCUAAUCUUCCUUCCUUAAAUCUGAGUUCUAGCUUUCCUUGUCGCCGAGAAUCUGCCGCAGCUGUCACCCGAUUUCCGCCAAGCCCCGACGCCGCUGCUGCUACUGGAAUGCCGGCUUCGCCGUUGUUGUCGCUGUUCCCGACGAAGGGUGUCGCCUCGCCUACUCCUCGGAGCCGUUCAGUCCUCCUCCCUCUCAGAAGCUUAGUUCCCUACUCUCACUUUACAACUACUGCGUAUGAAUUUCUGAGGUAUCUUAAUGUACAUGGUUUAUCAGUUGUGAGAUGGUAAAGCUAUAGUGUGAAGGUCAAAAUCUGUUAAAGGUUAUAUGUUGCUGGUUCUUCAUGCUGCUAUGUUCAUUCUCACAUAUUGGUUUUGUUUGUCUAUCAUGCUUGGAUGCAGAAAAUGUGUGAUGGAAUACAGUAUAUGGGGCUAGGUGAAACCAUGGAAGAAGGUGGAAGCAUUAAAGAAAGCUUACCCUGGGAACUUUGGCAGAAACAGGGCAGGGGCUGCUCUUCGAUAAUUGCAGGAUGGUGGAGAUGAUGAUUAAUAGAGGAUUGGCAAAUUAUAGUGGUGGGCAAAAUAUAGUGGUGGGCAAAGUAGUGGGAGAUAAAAAAAUAAUAAUAAUGUAGUGUAGGAUUAAUGAUGUAUUUUCUAUGUCUCGGUGAUUCUGUAACUGUAAAAUGGAUCGCGUGCUCGUAUCUGCUUGGUACUGUUUAUUUAAAUAAAUCUUGUAUUUCGACA